rnacentral:rRNA from 1 species
UGGCGGACGGGUGAGUAACGCGUAAAGAACUUGCCUCACAGUUAGGGACAACAUUUGGAAACGAAUGCUAAUACCUGAUAUUAUGAUUUUAGGGCAUCCUAAGAUUAUGAAAGCUAUAUGCGCUGUGAGAGAGCUUUGCGUCCCAUUAGCUAGUUGGAGAGGUAACGGCUCACCAAGGCGAUGAUGGGUAGCCGGCCUGAGAGGGUGAACGGCCACAAGGGGACUGAGACACGGCCCUUACUCCUACGGGAGGCAGCAGUGGGGAAUAUUGGACAAUGGACCAAAAGUCUGAUCCAGCAAUUCUGUGUGCACGAUGACGUUUUUCGGAAUGUAAAGUGCUUUCAGUUGGGAAGAAAAAAAUGACGGUACCAACAGAAGAAGUGACGGCUAAAUACGUGCCAGCAGCCGCGGUAAUACGUAUGUCACAAGCGUUAUCCGGAUUUAUUGGGCGUAAAGCGCGUCUAGGUGGUUAUGUAAGUCUGAUGUGAAAAUGCAGGGCUCAACUCUGUAUUGCGUUGGAAACUGCAUGACUAGAGUACUGGAGAGGUAAGCGGAACUACAAGUGUAGAGGUGAAAUUCGUAGAUAUUUGUAGGAAUGCCGAUGGGGAAGCCAGCUUACUGGACAGAUACUGACGCUAAAGCGCGAAAGCGUGGGUAGCAAACAGGAUUAGAUGCCCUGGUAGUCCACGCCGUAAACGAUGAUUACUAGGUGUUGGGGGUCGA